rnacentral:rRNA from 1 species
UACGAAGGGUGCAAACGUUGCUCGGAAUCAUUGGGCGUAAAGCGCACGUAGGCGGCUUCGCAAGUCGGAUGUGAAAUCCCUCGGCUCAACCAAGGACGUGCAUCCGAAACUGCAGAGCUUGAGUACAGAAGAGGAUCGCGGAAUUCCCGGUGUAGAGGUGAAAUUCGUAGAUAUCGGGAGGAACACCAGUGGCGAAGGCGGCGAUCUGGGCUGAUACUGACGCUGAGGUGCGAAAGCGUGGGGAGCAAACAGG